GCUGAGUGCCACGGCCCAUUGGAAGAGGAAUAGGGACGUGACACUGCACAGAGGGUUCUGGCACGCUUUCCUAUAUUAACUGUCCCUGUGGAUAGAGAUCACACAAGCUCAGUCUGCUCAAUCUGCUCCAGGAAGAGACAGGAAGAAAAUUUAUGAUUAUCAGAAACAAUAUUCUCGACACUCAGACAGGAUCAAGAGAUCAGAGAAGAAAAGAGAUGGACUGGUUUCAAGAAGGU